rnacentral:lncRNA from 1 species
AAGAAACCUUUGCAUUAGAAAGCUUCAUCAACAAAGGGGCUGCAGGUCAAUGUCCUGAGCAGAAAAUGUGCAGAAUAGCUUUAUUGUUUCCCCCCAUUAUUGCACAAUGACAAUUUGUAUCUAGGUGGAAGAUAAAACAGCGUUGCUAAGUGUUUCAGGUUUUCCUUUUUAAUUUUUUUUGCAUGAUCUUUGCUUAAAUCUGAGGUCACUCGGCUCCUCUUUGAGGUACCUUAAAUUCCUUCUGCUUCCUCUGUCCACAGAGAAAGCUAAGAAAACAAGGAAGAUCCCCACCUACAGAGGGAAACAGCCCUUUUCACCUCCCCUGCCAUGCAGCAGCAAUUCUUGGGUGUACAGCAUCGCACCCAUGGGUGCUCAAUGGGUGCAAAUGCUUUCAGGAGCCAGAGCUGCAUCUCUGCACUGAAGGCACUGGGGUGAAAACGCAGCGUGGAGCACACAAAGCAUCAUGUCUGGCUGGGGAUGGGGUGCACACAGCUGAUCCCUGCUGGGCAGGGGGUGCACACAGAACCCCUGGUACCUGCGGGGUGUUGAGGAGGCAACGCUGAUCAAAUCAUUGCCAUUUCCCAAUUAGCAGGAACAAGCUGCCAUGCCAGUCUGGAAAAGCAGCAGAGAUGGGGGUGCCCAAGUCCAAAACGUGGAGCAGCUCCUGCUUGGUGCAAAAAGGCAAAAGCAGCCUUAUUCUUAGCAUAUUCUUCCCCUUGCCACCCAAAAGCAGCAGAUCCACGCACUCAGUCAGUCGUUUCACCACUGGGUGUUUGCCGCAGCACAUGGCGCUCUGCAUCUAGCAACAACUGCCAGCAAAAACACAGCGUGCUGCUGCUCCCCCCACUCCCGCUGUGACCCCACAGCCGCAGCUCACGCCGACACAAAUCCCUUUCAGGAGGUGACCCAGCAGCAGCACCCGGCCAAGGCAGCACCACGCAGGGGAGCACAGCUCCGGCAGAUUGAUGGAGAAACUAUUAGAGGCACAGAGACCUGCUGGGUCACACUGGGAGCUGCAGGAGCUGGAAAGGUGUUUCCCUCUGGGCUGCUUGUCCAGGACCUGCCACCACCGAGCCUCCACCUCCCUCCUCUGACCCCAUCAGUGCCCCCAGCACUCGUACAGACAGCAGUCCUUGGGGUUUGGGCAAAAUGUGUACAGCACUAAGUGAAGGUGUGCAGGUGUCAGCGUGGGCUCCUCAGCCAGAUCGAUUCAAAUCCAGCCAUCCUGGGAGCAGAGCGAGGAAGUUAACAGCUGCUGGAAAUUGCACACAGCUCCUUUCAUAUCCACACAUUUUUCUUGCCUAAUUGGAGAGAGCCAAGAGGUUGGGCAGGAGCUGCACGAGGCUGGGGAGCCGGACUCCAGCUCUGACACAUGGCUGCAGGAGGCUCCCUGGGGCACCAGUUGCACCAGUCUGCUCUUAAUGGGCCCAGAGGCAGCAGAAGAACCCUCCUCUUUUCCUGCA